AACGAACGCUGGCGGCAUGCCUAACACAUGCAAGUCGAACGAGACCUUCGGGUCUAGUGGCGCACGGGUGCGUAACGCGUGGGAAUCUGCCCUUUGCUUCGGAAUAACAGUUAGAAAUGACUGCUAAUACCGGAUGAUGUCUUCGGACCAAAGAUUUAUCGGCAAAGGAUGAGCCCGCGUAGGAUUAGGUAGUUGGUGGGUAAAGGCCUACCAAGCCGACGAUCCUUAGCUGGUCUGAGAGGAUGAUCAGCCACACUGGGACUGAGACACGGCCCAGACUCCUACGGGAGGCAGCAGUGGGGAAUAUUGGACAAUGGGCGCAAGCCUGAUCCAGCAAUGCCGCGUGAGUGAUGAAGGCCUUCGGGUCGUAAAGCUCUUUUACCAGGGAUGAUAAUGACAGUACCUGGAGAAUAAGCUCCGGCUAACUCCGUGCCAGCAGCCGCGGUAAGU
rnacentral:rRNA from 1 species